GAUGAACGCUGGCGGCGUGCCUAAUACAUGCAAGUCGAGCGAACGGACGAGAAGCUUGCUUCUCUGAUGUUAGCGGCGGACGGGUGAGUAACACGUGGAUAACCUACCUAUAAGACUGGGAUAACUUCGGGAAACCGGAGCUAAUACCGGAUAAUAUUUUGAACCGCAUGGUUCAAAAGUGAAAGACGGUCUUGCUGUCACUUAUAGAUGGAUCCGCGCUGCAUUAGCUAGUUGGUAAGGUAACGGCUUACCAAGGCAACGAUGCAUAGCCGACCUGAGAGGGUGAUCGGCCACACUGGAACUGAGACACGGUCCAGACUCCUACGGGAGGCAGCAGUAGGGAAUCUUCCGCAAUGGGCGAAAGCCUGACGGAGCAACGCCGCGUGAGUGAUGAAGGUCUUCGGAUCGUAAAACUCUGUUAUUAGGGAAGAACAUAUGUGUAAGUAACUGUGCACAUCUUGACGGUACCUAAUCAGAAAGCCACGGCUAACUACGUGCCAGCAGCCGCGGUAAUACGUAGGUGGCAAGCGUUAUCCGGAAUUAUUGGGCGUAAAGCGCGCGUAGGCGGUUUUUUAAGUCUGAUGUGAAAGCCCACGGCUCAACCGUGGAGGGUCAUUGGAAACUGGAAAACUUGAGUGCAGAAGAGGAAAGUGGAAUUCCAUGUGUAGCGGUGAAAUGCGCAGAGAUAUGGAGGAACACCAGUGGCGAAGGCGACUUUCUGGUCUGUAACUGACGCUGAUGUGCGAAAGCGUGGGGAUCAAACAGGAUUAGAUACCCUGGUAGUCCACGCCGUAAACGAUGAGUGCUAAGUGUUAGGGGGUUUCCGCCCCUUAGUGCUGCAGCUAACGCAUUAAGCACUCCGCCUGGGGAGUACGACCGCAAGGUUGAAACUCAAAGGAAUUGACGGGGACCCGCACAAGCGGUGGAGCAUGUGGUUUAAUUCGAGGCAACGCGAAGGACCUUACCAAAUCUUGACAUCCUUUGACAACUCUAGAGAUAGAGCCUUCCCCUUCGGGGGACAAAGUGACAGGUGGUGCAUGGUUGUCGUCAGCUCGUGUCGUGAGAUGUUGGGUUAAGUCCCGCAACGAGCGCAACCCUUAAGCUUAGUUGCCAUCAUUAAGUUGGGCACUCUAAGUUGACUGCCGGUGACAAACCGGAGGAAGGUGGGGAUGACGUCAAAUCAUCAUGCCCCUUAUGAUUUGGGCUACACACGUGCUACAAUGGACAAUACAAAGGGCAGCGAAACCGCGAGGUCAAGCAAAUCCCAUAAAGUUGUUCUCAGUUCGGAUUGUAGUCUGCAACUCGACUACAUGAAGCUGGAAUCGCUAGUAAUCGUAGAUCAGCAUGCUACGGUGAAUACGUUCCCGGGUCU
rnacentral:rRNA from 1 species